rnacentral:rRNA from 1 species
AAAAGCUACUAAGGGCGUAUGGUGGAUGCCUUGGCACCAGGAGACGAUGAAGGACGUGGCAAGCUGCGAAAAGCUUCGGGGAGUCGCUAAACAGACUUUGAUCCGGAGAUGUCCGAAUGGGGGAACCCACUCUUCAGGGAGUACCGUAUGGUGAAUUCAUAGCCAUACGGAGUCAACGCAGGGAACUGAAACAUCUAAGUACCUGCAGGAAAAGAAAUCAAUUGAGAUACCGGAAGUAGUGGCGAGCGAAACCGGUACAGCCUAAACCGGAGGGAAUUUCUCUCCGGGGUCGUGGGGCGGUUCAUAACGGACCUGAAUGGUAAGGAGAAUCAGCUGGAAAGCUGAUCCGAAGAGGGUGACAGACCCGUAUCCGAAUACCGGAAAGGCCAGAAUCGUACCCGAGUAGGGCGGGACACGUGUUAUCCUGUCUGAAUCUGGGAGGACCAUCUUCCAAGGCUAAAUACUACCUGGUGACCGAUAGUGCAGAAGUACCGUGAGGGAAAGGUGAAAAGAACCCCGGCGAGGGGAGUGAAACAGAUCCUGAAACCAUAUGCCUACAAGCAGUCGGAGCGUAAGUGACGGCGUGCCUUUUGCAUAAUGAGCUAGCGAGUUAAUGGUGCAUGCAAGGUUAAGCUGUUCAGCAGCGAAGCCACAGUGAGAGCGAGCCUUAAGCGGCGAUUUAGUAUGUAUCAUUAGACCCGAAACCCGGUGAUCUAUCCAUGAGCAGGCUGAAGCUGGGGUAAUUCCUAGUGGAGGGCCGAACCCGUUGACGUUGAAAAGUCUUGGGAUGACUUGUGGAUCGGAGUGAAAGGCUAAUCAAACCGGGUGAUAGCUGGUUCUCCCCGAAAUAUAUUUAGGUAUAGCCUCAUUCGUUUCUUAACGGGGGUAGAGCACUGAUUGGGCUAGGGGUCCUACCAGAUUACCAAACCCACUCAAACUCCGAAUACCGUUACAGUUAUAGAAUGGGAGUCAGACCACGGGAGAUAAGUUCCGUGGUCAAGAGGGAAAGAGCCCAGACCAUCAGCUAAGGUCCCAAAGAUAACACUAAGUGGAAAACGAUGUGAGAGUGCACAGACAGCCAGGAGGUUGGCUUAGAAGCAGCCACCCUUCAAAGAAAGCGUAACAGCUCACUGGUCAAGUGCUUUUGCGCGGAAGAUUUAACGGGGCUUAAGUGUUACACCGAAGCUAUGGAUUCAUACUUUUAGUAUGAGUGGUAGGGGAGCACUGUGGCAACCAGUGAAGGCAGAUGGUGAUGUCUGCUGGAGGAACCACAGGAGCUUAUGCUGGCAUAAGUAGCGAUAAGAAAUGUGAGAAACAUUUCCGCCGGAAGCCCAAGGUUUCCCGGGAAAGGGUAAUCCUCCCGGGGUUAGUCGGCACCUAAGGCGAGGCCGAAAGGCGUAGUCGAUGGACAACAGGUUAAUAUUCCUGUACCUGACAGUGGAGUGAUGCAGGGGUGGAGAAAGGUAGCUGUCCCAACCAUUGGAUGUUGUUGGUAUAAGCGUGUAGGGAGGAGACUUAGGAAAAUCCGGGUCUUCGUUAAUCCUGAGGCGUGAUGUAUAAGGUCUCCGGACCCGAAUCAGUGAUCCUCUGCUUACAAGAAAAGCUGCUAAACAUUGAAGCUGUCAGACCGUACUGCAAACCAACUCAGGUGGGCAGGAAGAGAAUUCUAAGGCGUUUGAGUGAAACAUGGUUAAGGAACUCGGCAAAUUGACACCGUACCUUCGGUAUAAGGUGUGCCGGCAGUGUGUAGGGAUUUACUCCUGAAGCAUAGUCCGGUUGCAGAGAAGAGGGGGUAGCGACUGUUUACCAAAAACAUAGCACUACGCAAAAUCGUAAGAUGAAGUAUGUGGUGUGACGCCUGCCCGGUGCCGGAAGGUUAAGUGGAGGGGUUAGACUUCGGUCAAAGCUUCGAAAUGAAGCCCCGGUAAACGGCGGCCGUAACAAUAACGGUCCUAAGGUAGCGAAAUUCCUUGUCGGGUAAGUUCCGACCUGCACGAAUGGCGUAACGACUUCCCCGCUGUCUCAACCAUGUGCUCAGCGAAUUUGAAAACCGCGUGCAGAUGCGCGGUACCCGC